ensembl:lncRNA
GGGGGGGGUAAGUCCUAGACGACGUGGCGACCGACAAGCAGCAGGUGAGUCUCAGGUGGAAUGCCGAAGCCAGAAUAGCUGACAUUCCAGAGAGGGGUAGUAAGGAUUUGGAAUACUAGUUGCGCUGCUAAUACGGCUGAAAAGUUUGAUGUCUCGUUCUCACUCUUCCUGUCUGGGUCGGAUGCCUGAUUCAUGGGAAUAACGUUACUGGGGCGCUUAUCACCACGUUGAUUGUUGAAGGGGACUGGGAAAGAUCAAUGCUUUGGGAUAGAGGCUGACAAGGAUAUUGUUGAAGAUGACUUCAACUGUCUCACCUGUGACCAACUUUACUACAGUAUUCUCCAAUACCACAAUCACCACCAAGUCCAAAGAACAAAUACUCACUCAGAGUUCAGGGGCUAUGAUUGCUGUCAUUGUCAUCGGGAUCAUUAUCCUUCUAACCAUACUACUUGUCACCCUGAGGACAUACAACAGGCGGACACAUGCGUCCAGAGUGCUGGGAACAGGCUCCAAAGGGCCACCUCGACAGAAGAUGUCCUCUUCUACAGUGCAGACGAGCAUGCCCUUGGGGAGCUUUGCGCUGUCAAGUAAUAUGUCCGAAAAUGGAUUCCGGCUGCCCCGAGUGGAACUAAACAGCCUGGACCAAAACAACUUGGAGCAACAAAGCAGAAUCAGCGAUUCGACAGUAGUCACCAUACAUGAUACUCCAUCACUAGGGAAUACAUAGCAGGCCGCUAACGUAUUGGACAGGUGACAAAGUCAGCAUAUAAUGCUUGAAAAGAAACUCUUUAUUAUGAACAAAGUGGUGCUAUAAGAACGCAAUGAAUAUGCAUGGACACUCCUGUGGACAUAAACAAUUGCUUUCUUGACUACAGUGUUCAGAACAUGGACAAAAUUAUCCUGCUGUCUGUGCAUUUGCAGCUGUGCUACCAACAACCGUGAGGAUAAGCGUUGGAGGAGAGAUGUGUACAAGAUUUACGGCAUGAACAUGGUAUCAUGUCUAGUUUUUCUGUGUGCGUACAUUUCUGUGAGGGACUUGUUCACAGGGUUUUACAUUUAUUCACAUUAUUCUGAUGUAAGAUUAUUAUUCUUUCUUUUUUAUCUGAAUAAUGUUGUUGUGGUUUUCAGGAAAAAUCAUGAGAAUGUUUCUGUGAAAAGUCGAUACUGGUUUGAAUCCCUGUGGAGAUCUAGAUAGCAUACAAUUAUGAAAUAAUAAGUCCCAAUUAGUUUGAUUCCAAAGGAUUUUGCACUUUUCACUCACCCUAUCCUGUGAUUAUUUUUGCUUGUGGUUAUUUCAUUGAAAUAAAUAUUGAAAAUAAAUAUUGAUAUUUCUAAAAAGUGUGUGCAUGUUUCUGCUUGAAUAUGAUCACAUUUGCAUUUCGUCAUUUACAGUGCAUUCGGAAAGUGUUCAGACCCCUUUACAUUUGACACAUUUU